rnacentral:rRNA from 1 species
AACGAACGCUGGCGGCAGGCUUAACACAUGCAAGUCGAGCGCCCCGCAAGGGGAGCGGCAGACGGGUGAGUAACGCGUGGGAACGUACCCUUUGCUACGGAAUAGCUCCGGGAAACUGGAAUUAAUACCGUAUGUGCCCUUCGGGGGAAAGAUGUAUCGGCAAAGGAUCGGCCCGCGUUGGCUUAGCUAGUUGGUGGGGUAAAGGCCUACCAAGGCGACGAUUCAUAUCUGGUCUGAGAGGAUGAUCAGCCACCGUGGGACAGAGAUGAGGCCCAGACUCCUGGGGGGGGCAGCAGUGGGGAAUAUUGGAAAAUGGGCGCAAGCCUGGUCCAGCCAUGCCGCGUGGGUGAUGAAGGCCCUAGGGUUGUAAGGCUCUUUCACCGGUGAAGAUAAUGACGGUAACCGGAGAAGAAGCACCGGCUAACUUCGUGCCAGCAGCCGCCGCAGUAA